UGACCUACAACAUGGCACAGCUUGAGCGUUAAUUAUGUUGUGCCAUCGUCUGAAAAAUAUCCAUACAUUUAGUUCAAAUAAUUCACGAGUUAGGAAUAAAUCACGAUAAUUUACUUGAGGCUCAUCUACAUGAGUUUUGUAGACUGGAGGGUCUAUACAUAAAAGUAUUGACAAACUUGAAAUAAUAAAUUUAAAAACUCUAAUAAUAUUUACAAGUAAACUCUGAUCAAGACUGAGGAAAGAUUCAUGAAUCUUUUCUAGACUUUUAGAACAAAAUCGAACUUGGUUAGACAAAGAUGUAACUAUUGGCAAAAAUCCCUUUGCAGCAGGUCCAGGUAGAAAGUGAAAGAACUGGGAAGUUUAAGGUGGUAAUAGCAGAAGAUCUAAGGUUGUCAAAUUGGCUGAACAUCCUGCUGAAGCAUUGGCAUUAGCUUCAACAAAAAAAGCCACUAGAGAUCCUAACAAAAAAAACUUUGUUGUUCUCAUGAAAAGUGCUACAAACUCUAUAAAAGGUAAAAUCACGGAGAUAAAUUUUCCGAUAAAAAUCAAAACCGAAAAUGCCUUGAGCUUAAAAAUUCAGUCGAACGUUUCUGAUAAACAGUAUUAAAUUAUUAGAAAUCUAUCGAUAAUAAAUAAUGCAGGUAUUUAUCCUUCACUUCAUAAAAUUAAGAAUGAGAAACACAAAUGUUAUCCUGAGGGUUUAAUUGUGACAGAAACAUCUGCUUCAAUUCUUCUACAGGGUAUGUUAAAUCAUACUCUGACAAAGAUAUUAAAUUUUACGGAAUGCUAAGACUCUAUGAGAAUGUUUGCUGAAGUUGGGGGGAGCUUUAAAGGUCUACUUCAAUUUAAAGGCGGUUUGAUGGUGCUUUCAGUCAAAUUGUCUAUAAACAAAAAUAUACUGAUGCAAAUAUUGGCGAGGCCCAAGUUAACGAGCAAAGUCUUUUCCUGACAGCUAUUGUUCCACUUAAAUUAACCAUCAUGAAUAACAAUGUAUGGUUAAAUAAGAAGCCCUCUAGUACACAUUACUGUAUACCCCUACAUCUCCAAUAUCAAAAUGAAACGGAAGAAUUGAUAAGAAAUGAGUAUGAACAUUUAAAAGGAGAAAGUUUAAAAAUAAACAGACUAGUCGAGUUUGAAGUAAAGUUAGAAGUAGAGAAAGACAAACCGGAUACGACUAUCAGAUCUAAGUUUAAACUAGAUUUAAUCAUUUAAACUGUCAUGAAUUGAACUGUGUUAUGAGUUGAACUCUGAAAAUUUGGGUCAGUAUUGCUAUGAAACUACAGCUCUUAUACUCAAAAACUAUUGCUGGUAUGUGAUUCCCCAACCUGUUCAUAAACUCUUGGAACAUGGUGUGCAGCUAUCUGAUACAUUAGUAAUGCCAAUUGGUUACUACUACUCUAAAGAAUCAAAAGAGGAUCUAAAUAUGGAAAGUCGCAAACCUAGAUUAAACCAAGAUAUCCAGAAAGAAUGUUAUGAAAAACCAGUACCAAUGCCUGUUGAUUAGAAGUAAUCCUGUAAUAUCAAACAUUUGUUUCAAAAAAUACAAGGUUAAAAAUGGAAAAACACUUACCCCUGAAGUUUUACCUUUGUUAAUGCUGUAAUAGUAAAAUAAAGCUUUUUUAGCAA